GACGAACGCUGGCGGCGUGCUUAACACAUGCAAGUCGAACGCUGAAGCUCAGCUUUUGUUGGGUGGAUGAGUGGCGAACGGGUGAGUAACACGUGAGUAACCUGCCUCCUUCUUUGGGAUAACGCCCGGAAACGGGUGCUAAUACUGGAUAUUCACUGGUCUUCGCAUGGGGGUUGGUGGAAAGGGUUUUUCUGGUGGGGGAUGGGCUCGCGGCCUAUCAGCUUGUUGGUGGGGUGAUGGCCUACCAAGGCUUUGACGGGUAGCCGGCCUGAGAGGGUGACCGGUCACAUUGGGACUGAGAUACGGCCCAGACUCCUACGGGAGGCAGAAGUGGGGAAUAUUGCACAAUGGGCGCAAGCCUGAUGCAGCGACGCCGCGUGAGGGAUGGAGGCCUUCGGGUUGUGAACCCCUUUCGCUCAUGGUCAAGCCGCAACAAUGGUUGUGGUGAGGGUAGUGGGUAAAGAAGCUCCGGCUAACUACGUG
rnacentral:rRNA from 1 species